rnacentral:rRNA from 1 species
UACGGAGGGGGUUAGCGUUGUUCGGAAUGACUGGGCGUAAAGCGCGCGUAGGCGGCUUAUCAAGUCAGGGGUGAAAUCCCGGGGCUCAACCCCGGAACUGCCUCUGAAACUGGUAGACUAGAAUCCUGGAGAGGCGAGUGGAAUUCCGAGUGUAGAGGUGAAAUUCGUAGAUAUUCGGAAGAACACCAGUGGCGAAGGCGGCUGACUGGACAUGUAUUGACGCUGAGGUGCGAAAGCGUGGGGAGCAAACAGG